GUAGAAAGUGGCAGGCUGGAGUUAUGCGGCUCACUUUCUAGCCAGAAGGAGGGAGACUGAAUGGAGGCACAUUGAAGAUGCCUGCUUCCUCUUCCACCGUGAUUGGACGUUUCCUGAGGCCUCCUCAGCCAUGUGAAACUUUGGCUAGUUUCAAGUUUGGCGUUAUUUUGAAGAGUACUGCUAUGAACAUUCUAGUGCAUGUCUUUUUGGAGUAUACAUGUUUGCAUUUCUGUUGGGAAUGUCAAGUCAAAACGUGCACCAGAUAAAGUUAAACAGGCUGGAAUAAGGAUGGGAUGCUGGUGAGUUAGCUUUGACAAUGCCGAAUAGAAAAACACUCUAAGGGAUCUGGAUGCUGGAUGAACUCACUGGAGCAUUACUGCCUGUUUGCCCUGUUUCUUCUCACCUGUCUCUUCCAAUGCUAAGCCAUAUGCAAGCCUCUUCUAAACUCAGGUUCCACUGGCUGAAAGAUGACAAAGGGAGGAUGUAGAGCAAUUCUGAAAAGCUGAGUAUUUUCUCCAACGAAACUACAUUAACCUGGAAGAGACUAGGUUAUAUUGAAUCUAAAAUGGUGGUGUUAUUCAUCCACUUCGUAUCAGAAAUGGAGGUCCCUGAUGAAAUUAUAGUCAGUACAAACAU
ensembl:lncRNA novel transcript